CCUACGGGAGGCAGCAGUGGGGAAUAUUGCACAAUGGGGGAAACCCUGAUGCAGCGACGCCGCGUGAGCGAUGAAGGAUUUCGGGAUGUAAAGCUCUAUCAGCAGGGAAGAAAAUGACGGUACCUGACGAAGAAGCCCCGGCUAACUACGUGCCAGCAGCCGCGGUAAUACGUAGGGGGCAAGCGUUAUCCGGAUUUACUGGGUGGAAAGGGAGCGUAGCCGGUCCUGCAAGCCAGAUGUGAAAGCCCGGGGCUCAACCCCGGGACUGCAUUUGGAACUGGAAGGCUAGAGUGUCGGAGAGGCAGGCGGACUUCCUAGUGUAGCGGUGACAUGCGUAGAUAUUAGGAGGACCCCCAGUGGCGAAGGCGGCCUGCUGGACUAUGCCUGACGUUGAGGCUCGAAAGCGUGGGGAGCAAACAGGAUUAGAUACCCUAGUAGUC
rnacentral:rRNA from 1 species